UCAGAACGAACGCUGGCGGCAGGCUUAACACAUGCAAGUCGAGCGCACUCUUUUAGAGUGAGCGGCAAACGGGUGAGUAACGCGUGGGAAUCUACCCAUUUCUACGGAAUAACACAGAGAAAUUUGUGCUAAUACCGUAUGUGUCCUAUUAGGAGAAAGAUUUAUCGGAAAUGGAUGAGCCCGCGUUGGAUUAGCUAGUUGGUAGGGUAAAGGCUUACCAAGGCGACGAUCCAUAGCUGGUCUGAGAGGAUGAUCAGCCACACUGGGACUGAGACACGGCCCAGACUCCUACGGGAGGCAGCAGUGGGGAAUAUUGGACAAUGGGGGCAACCCUGAUCCAGCCAUGCCGCGUGAGUGAUGAAGGCCCUAGGGUUGUAAAGCUCUUUCACCGGUGAAGAUAAUGACGA
rnacentral:rRNA from 1 species